rnacentral:misc_RNA from 1 species
AUAUAUAUAUAUAUAUAUAAUUCCGAAGAAGUAUGCUGUUUCUCAUACCAGGAUGACCAUGCAGACUUUGUCCCUGCAAAAAAAAUGUAUCCGAACAUGUCUGCUUGUGUUUAUCUAUAAGUUCUGAUUCUUCUGAAUAUCGUCAGUUCAUUCACAAGCGUGUUCUUAGUUUCCUAUCCAUAUUUACGUCUCCUGGAUUUCUCUCUCUUUCUCUCUCCCAUAAUUUUGUUCAUGUUUUUAAUAUGCAAUUUGGAAAUCUCAGACAAGAAAAUGGAAAACUUUAGGCAAAUUUGCUUUAUGUAGCUUUACAAUAUUAUCAAUGACUACAAUUUGUACCUCAUGUUGAAUUGCUUUGCACUUCCUUGCCCUUGCUGAGCUACUCCUGAAUUUUUUUAAAAAGAAAAAAGAAAGAAAGAAAAAAAAGCUACGAUUUAAAAAUAUUAAUAAUAAAUUUGCAUUAAAUUAUUUAUUUAUUUUUUAGUAUAUUUUUCCUUUUCAUAAUUUAUUUAUUUUUAUUUAAUUUUUACGAAUCAAUCUCUACCAUAUGUCAUUUGAUUUUUGGCGAUUUUUAUAGUUAUAGCAGAGAUUUUUUAUAGAGUCUGUUUUGUUGGUUAAUCAAUUUAAGAAUGAAUGGACAAGGACCGUGGUGCAUGGGAG